AACGAACGCUGGCGGCAUGCCUAACACAUGCAAGUCGAACGAGACCUUCGGGUCUAGUGGCGCACGGGUGCGUAACGCGGGGGAACCUGCCCUUAGGUUCGGAAUAACUCCCCGAAAGGGGUGCUAAUACCGGAUAAUGUCUUCGGACCAAAGAUUUAUCGCCUUUGGAUGGGCCCGCGUUGGAUUAACCAGUUGGUAUGGUAAAAGCCUACCAAGGCGGCGAACCAUCGCUGGGCUGAGAGGAUGGUCAGCCACACUGGGACUGGGACCCGGCCCCGACUCCGACGGGAGGGAGCAGGGGGGAAUAUGGGACGAUGGGCGAGAGCCUGAGCCCGCAAGGCCGCGUGAGUGAUGAAGGCCUUAGGGUUGUAAAGCUCUUUUACCCGGGAUGAUAUGGCCAGUACCGGGGAAAUAAGCCCCGCCUACCUCCGU
rnacentral:rRNA from 1 species